CCUACGGGUGGCAGCAGUGAGGAAUAUUGGUCAAUGUGCGUAAGCCUGAACCAGCCAAGUCGCGUGAGGGAUGAAGGUUCUAUGGAUCGUAAACCUCUUUUAUACGGGAAUAAAGUGUGGGACGUGUCCUGUUUUGUAUGUACCUUAUGAAUAAGGAUCGGCUAACUCCGUGCCAGCAGCCGCGGUAAUACGGAGGAUCCGACCGUUAGCCGGAUUUAUUGGGUUUAAAGGGUGAGUAGGCGGCCUUUUAAGUCAGCGGUGAAAUUCUGUGGCUUAACCAUAGAAUUGCCGUUGAAACUGGAAGGAUUGAGUAUGUUUGAGGCAGGCGGAAUGCGUGGUGUAGCGGUGAAAUGCUUAGAUAUCACGCAGAACCCCGAUUGCGAAGGCAGCCUGCCAAGCCAUGACUGACGCUGAUGCACGAAAGCGUGGGGAUCAAACAGGAUUAGAUACCCUGGUAGUC
rnacentral:rRNA from 1 species